rnacentral:rRNA from 1 species
AGUGAACGCUGGCGGUAGGCCUAACACAUGCAAGUCGAACGGCAGCACAGUAAGAGCUUGCUCUUACGGGUGGCGAGUGGCGGACGGGUGAGGAAUAUAUCGGAAUCUACUUUUUCGUGGGGGAUAACGUAGGGAAACUUACGCUAAUACCGCAUAUGACCUACGGGUGAAAGCAGGGGAUCUUCGGACCUUGCGCGAUUGAAUGAGCCGAUGUCGGAUUAGCUAGUUGGCGGGGUAAAGGCCCACCAAGGCGACGAUCCGUAGCUGGUCUGAGAGGAUGAUCAGCCACACUGGAGCUUGGACACGGUCCAUGCUCCUACGGGAGGCAGCAGUGGGGAAUAUUGGACAAUGGGCGCAAGCCUGAUCCAGCCAUACCGCGUGGGUGAAGAAGGCCUUCGGGUUGUAAAGCCCUUUUGUUGGGAAAGAAAAGCAGCAGGUUAAUACCCCGCUGUUCUGACGGUACCCAAAGAAUAAGCACCGGCUAACUUCGUG